GCGUCUAAAAAUGUUUUGAGAGUUUUUUUGCCACGACUGCACCCUGAGACAAAGUCAGUGUUUGUCACAACGUUCACGUUGAACCUGGCAGGAAGACAGGCUGAGCCACGAAAGGUAAAUAUGAAACUGCUCCCGGCUUGCUGGGUCAGGAUUCACCAGUGUUUAUUUUGGAGAUGGUACCAAGCAGUGGGGCCUGGGAGAAAGAGUGCCAGAGAAUACAGCUUGUGUAUCAGCAAGGGACACCUGCUCAUCAUGUGACCUGGUGGAUGGCUGGACCCGGAUUUGGGCACAAUUGUAACCCUAAGAUGGGUAACGGGGACUCAAUUGUUGGAAUGGUAUUGAAACCUUCCCUGGAACACUUGUGCAUUUCUCGCAAGAAUAUAAAAUGAUGUAGCUGCCUUUUGAAACUGUUUGGCAUCUAAUCAACUAAACAGAGUCACUACUGUAUGGCCCAGGAACCCCACUCCUGGGUAUUUAUCUAAAGGAAUAAAAACCUUGACUCCCCACAAAAAUCUCUACACAACUGUUUAUAAAAGAAUUGUAACAGUAGCUCCAAAUCGACUUUGAAUAAAGAAAAUGUGGUCUACUUUUACAAUGGACUGUCACUUCAAAACAGGAAUGAAGUAUGGAUUCCCGAACUGCCAUCAGAGAGACCUUGGAUAGAUUGCACUCUGUGAAAGAAGUGGACUCAGAAGGUCACGCACUGUCUAAUCUGCCUUAUGUGAAAGGUCCAGAAUAGGCAACUCUGCAGAUGCAGGAAGCAGGAAGCUGUGCCAGACCUGGGGGGAAGGUGUGAGAAGGAAGUGAAGUGAGUGUGAAUUGGCUGCUGCUGCUUUGGAAGUGACCAAGAUGUUCUGGAAUAGUGAUGACAUCUAAGCCCUGGAAUGAAUCAAAGCCCACCAGGGUGAAUUUUAUGGCCUGAGAAUUUCAUCUCAAUAAAACAUUUUUGUUUGUUCUGUGUGCUAUG
rnacentral:lncRNA from 1 species